rnacentral:rRNA from 1 species
AGUGAACGCUGGCGGUAGGCCUAACACAUGCAAGUCGAACGGCAGCACAGUAAGAGCUUGCUCUUACGGGUGGCGAGUGGCGGACGGGGGAGGAAUACAUCUGAAUCUACUUUUUCGUGGGGGAUAACGUAGGGAAACUUACGCUAAUACCGCAUACGACCUACGGGUGAAAGCAGGGGAUCUUCGGACCUUGCGCGAUUGAAUGAGCCGAUGUCGGAUUAGCUAGUUGGCGGGGUAAAGGCCCACCAAGGCGACGAUCCGUAGCUGGUCUGAGAGGAUGAUCAGCCACACUGGAACUGAGACACGGUCCAGACUCCUACGGGAGGCAGCAGUGGGGAAUAUUGGACAAUGGGCGCAAGCCUGAUCCAGCCAUACCGCGUGGGUGAAGAAGGCCUUCGGGUUGUAAAGCCCUUUUGUUGGGAAAGAAAAGCAGCAGGUUAAUACCCCGCUGUUCUGACGGUACCCAAAGAAUAAGCACCGGCUAACUUCGUG